AACGUAGGAGACGAACGUUAUUCGGAAUUACUGGGCUUACAGAGUUCGUAGGCGGCUCUACAAGUGAGGUGUGAAAGCCCCCGGCUCAACUGGGGAGGGUCAUUCGAUACUGUCCGACUCGAAGGCAGGAGAGGGAAGCGGAAUUCCCGGUGUAGUGGUGAAAUGCGUAGAUAUCGGGAGGAACACCAGUGGCGAAGGCGGCUUUCUGGCCUGUUCUUGACGCUGAGGCGCGAAAGCUAGGGGAGCGAACGGG
rnacentral:rRNA from 1 species